AUGCGCUGAAUGACGAACAAAUAACAUAGCUAUCGAUUACACGUGGAGCACGUGGACUGGAGAGCUGAAGGAAAAGACCAAGUGCCCGACAAACAAACGCAGCCUGUUACUCGUAAACACACAGGGGGUUAACAUACCUCCGCGGCGGAGACACAUGUACGGUUAAGGGGAGUUGUUAAGUUGGACCGGCGGGAUAGUAUGCUCUAAAUGUCCAUCAAAGACUGCAGACACUGUGUGACCAAACAGCUCUGAAACAAGCCGACAUAACUGUAAUCCUUCCGUAGUGAGUGAAUACUGCGUUCUGCCGCUGUCUGUAUCAUUCAAGCCAUGACGGUCUAGAGAGAUGAGACUUGAAGGCCUCACCCACACCACCCUGACUAUGUGUGUGUGACUAUUUCUCACUUAAACGCAGAAUUUCUGCACAAUAAUAUAUGUUGUGGUCGUAUAAUGAUGCUGUCCAGAAUGAAGAGAGUCCACAUUA